AAGCCGUACACCCUAUAAAAAAGGAGGUGGAGAAGAUCAUUCCAGGACAAUGAAAUCUUUUGCAGUAUGCUCCUUUGGGGAUCCUGACUCAGCUGGCAUCCUGUGGAAUGUUCUGGGUUGUUUGCCUUCCCUUCAAAACAAGUCCCCUGCACCAGUCUUUGUAGUCUUCGCACCAGCUGUUUUCACUUCCAAAGUGGAUCAUUCAGAAUGCCUAAUGAAGAGUUCAGGGGCUUCUUUGUGAAGAUGAGCAUUCACAUCUGCCUUUGAUCAGGCCCAUGGCAGCCCAGGAUCAGAUCAGAAAGCAAAUGAGAUGAUAAAGUGGAUGAAACCACAGUAAGUAUAAUAUCGAGGGUGGGGGGACAGGGAAGGGGAGAGGCUGCCCCGUGGAGCAUAAAGCCUGCCUGGGCUUUCACAUCAAGGCUGGC
rnacentral:lncRNA from 1 species